rnacentral:rRNA from 1 species
UUGAACGCUGGCGGCAUGCUUAACACAUGCGUGUCGAACGGCAGCAUGGUCUAGCUUGCUAGACUGAUGGCGAGUGGCGCACGGGUGAGUAACGCGUAGGAAUAUACCUUAAAGAGGGGGACAACUUGGGGAAACUCAAGAUAAUACCGCAUGAACUCUGAGGAGUAAAGCUGGGGACAGAACGGCCUGGCGCUUUAAGCAUAUCCUGCGUCCGAUUAGCUAGGUGGUGGGGUAAGGGGCUACCAAGGCGACGGUCGGUAGCUGGUCUGAGAGGAUGAUCAGCGACACUGGAACGGAGACACGGUCCAGACUCCUUCGGGAGGCAGCAGUGGGGAAUAUUGGACAAUGGGGGGCAACCUGAUCCAGCAAGGCCGCGUGUGUGAAGAAGGCCUGAGGGUUGUAAAGCACUUUCGGUGGGGAGGAGGAUUUAUUGGUUAAGAGCUGAUGAAUUGGACGCUACCUACAGAAGAAGCACCGGCUAACUCCGUGCCAGCCGCCGCAGUAA